rnacentral:lncRNA from 1 species
CCUCUCGGCCUGAUAUGUCUGUCCCUUUUGCUCAUCCCUGCUGCAGGUGCCUCCUCCCGUCCCUGAACCCCGCCCCAGCCAGGGCCCCUCCUGGGGUGAGGGGCGGCCCCGGGGGCCCUCCACUGGCAGGUGACGAGGGCCCCUCGGCCACACGGGCCCUGUCUCUGCAGCUGGAACGUACUGUGAGUGCAGCCUCGGCCUCAGCCGCGAGGCCCUCAUUGCCCUGCUGGUGGUGCUGGCGGGCGUUGGUGCCAGCUGCUUCUGUGCCCUCGUCAUCGUGGCAAUUGGUGCCAUGCGAGCCAAGAGGUGUGUAGGCCCCGGGGCGGGCAGGGUGGGUGAGGGCCACGGGGCCCUGCUGGGAGAGGGGCCUCUGCCCCGGGUGAGAUGUCAGCCAGAGCUGGGGAACGCUAUUUCCCGGACUGGGCUGUGAAGAGGUGGGGUGCGGGAGGGGCACUUCUGGGCUCCUGGGGGCCAGCUCCCCUGCUCCAGGACUCACACCUUCCUUUGUCCCCCAGACAUGAACAUGCCUCCCGCAGACACAUGGACAGCAGGUGAGUAACCUCAGGGGAGGACCCCACGGGUGAGCUGUGCCCCUGCUCCUGCCCCACUGGGAGGUGUGGUCACAGAUGCAUCAGGGGCACUGACCUGAGAGCCAGGCCUGCCCUGGGAGGGGGUUAAGUCCUCGGGAGCCCGUGCUGGUGACUGCCUGCAACAAGCCUGACCCAGCCCGUGUCGUGCAGGAUGGUGGGGCACUUCGGGGUCCAGGAAGAUCACACGGAUCUGCACACAUUGCAUGUGGAGUCCCACCUCAUGGACCCUGACCUGGAGGUCUCCCUGAUGCCUCCCCUGGAGGCUCACGGCCUCAUAACCAUCCCCAUGGACCCGAUGGCCCCAACUCUGACUCUAGAGGAGACGUCCCCUCUCACCCCCCCACCUGAGUAGGGCUGCGGGCAGCCUAGGGUAAGAGAAUUAAACGGUAUUUAGUGCUUCUGCCCUGUCCUCUCUGCGGGCUCCUCCUAGAGCCGCUGUGCGGCUGCGUGAAGGGGUGGGGAGGGGUCUGUGUGCACCUAGGUCAUCUCCUUUAUCUUGGAUGGCGGGUGUGUGUGUGUGUGUGUGCGCGCGCGAGUGUGCGCUGCCUGCACAAGUGCCCGCUGUCUGCCCUUCAGGGCAGGAGCCACAGCCCUGGUGUUUCCAUCUCCUCCUGCCAUGGCCUCCGUCUAGCUCCUCCCGGCAUCGUCCUGCUGCCUUGCCCCACGAAGUUGGCAUGGCUCCUGGGCCCCUGCCCACCCCACCCCCACCCCACCCCGGAAAACCCCAGGACAGGAUGUGCAAUUCUGGUGACUCCAGAGGAGCAGCAUUUGACUGGAGAACUUGGGCUGGUGCCUGUGCCCUACCCACACUGUCUCCUUGAGGUUCUAGGAGAAUCCUCAUAGGGCCAGGUAGGGCAGACAUGACGGUUUCCAGGUAUGCAGUCCCGCUCCACCCUACGGCCUAUCCCCUGGGCUCAGGCUCCCAUCAUGUACUCCUGACCCCACCAAACAUCCGCUAUGGAGAUGGGACCAUCCCUAUACGGGGGGUGCGGGGAGGGGGCCCACCGUGUGUGUGCUAGGGUCACUUUGCUGGGCAGGAGACAGGCAGGGACGAGUGAGCAGUGAGGCCCCUGGGUCCCAUUCCAUGCGUGGCAUCCAUGAGUUUGAUGGGUGUGUGUGUGUGGGGGGGGGGUCAUCCAGCGGCUUAGGCCUCAAGGGGGGCACAGGGUGGUGGAUACCCCAGGAGAGGAGAGGUGGGGCUUCUCACCGCCGCAGUUGGCACAGAGCCAAGAGGAGCCCGGCUCCGGGACAGGUGGCUGGCAGUGCAGGGUGCUGGCUAUCCGCCCAGCCCCCGCCCUGGGCGCGGGGACCAGCCGUGGAACAGGAACUGCCGGCACUCGGGCUGGAGAAUUAAUAUUUGUGCAGGCGCGGCAAAGACGCACUGGCUACGUGAACGCACGGGCAGCAGGCCUUGAGCUCUGCCCCCAUGCGGAGCCUCUCCUCUCUCUCGCGGCGGCCGUCGCCGAUGUUGCUGCUGCUGCUGUCGCCGUGGUCAGUCUGGGCCCAGUUGUCGGCCGCGGNCGGCCGCCUCCUCGGGAACCCCAGGCACCCCGGACUGCCCGGAGGCGUGCGCGUGCGCGCCGGGCGGCCAGGCCAACUGCUCGAGGCGCGCGCUGCCCGCCGUGCCUGCGGGCCUGAGCCGGCGCGUGCGCGCGCUGCUGCUGGACCAUAACCGUGUGCGCGCGCUGCCGCCCGGCGCUUUCGUGGGCGCUGACACGCUGCUGCGCCUGGACCUGCGCGAGAACGGGCUGCGCUGGGUGCACGCGCGGGCCUUCUGGAGCUUGGGCGCGCUGCAGCAGCUCGACCUCAGCGCCAACCAGUUGGAGGCGCUGGCGCCCGGCACCUUUUCGCCCUUGCGCGCGCUGCGUUCCCUCUCGCUGGCAGGCAAUCGGCUGGCGCGCCUGGAGCCGGCGGCGCUGGGCGCGCUCCCGCUGCUGUACGCGCUCAGCCUGCAGGACAACGAGCUGCCUGCGCUCGCGCCGGGACUGCUGGCCGGCCUGCCCGCUCUCCGCGCACUGCGCCUGCGCGGCAACCCUUGGGUCUGCGGCUGCGCGCUGCGUCCGCUCUGCUCCUGGCUGCGCCGGCACCCGCGGCCGGCGCCAGGUGAGCCCUCCGGGUGGGGGUAGGCGGGCCGGGAGCCACGGCCACGGUCCCCGCCGCCGCCACCUGACUGUGCACCUGUGUCCCGCAGAGGCCGAGACGCUGCUCUGCGUGUUGCCAGGGCGCCUGACGCUCAGACCCUUGACCGCCUUAACGGACGCCGCCUUCAGCCACUGCGCGCAGCGGCUCGCCCCCCGGGACCUGGCUGUGGUCUACGCGCUCGGGCCCGUCUCCUUUCUCGCCAGCCUGGCCGCCUGCCUGGCGCUGGGCUCCGUGCUCACCGCCUGCCGCACGCGCCGCUGGCGCGCCACCGCCCUCGGCCCGCUGAGGAGAGCGCUGGACCCUGGCCCCGGGAGCCCCGCGGCCGCUGC